AAGCGAAGCUUUUCAGUAGUUUACUACAGAAAAUGACUGAGCGGCGAACGGGUGAGUAACGCGUGAGCAAUCUACCUUAGUUACAGGGAUAGCCCGAGGAAACUCGGAUUAAUACCUGAUAUUCUUUACAUUUCGCAUGAAAUUAAAAGGAAAGGUCAGCCGAACUAAGAUGAGCUCGCGUUCUAUCAGCUAGUUGGUGAGGAAAAAGCUCACCAAGGCAACGACGGAUAGCUGGUCUGAGAGGACGAUCAGCCACACUGGGACUGAGACACGGCCCAGACUCCUACGGGAGGCUGCAGCAGGGAAUAUUGUGCAAUGAACGAAAGUUUGACACAGCGACACCGCGUGUGGGAUGACGGAUCUAGGUUUGUAAACCACUUUCAGGAGGGAAGAAAAUGACGGUACCUCCACAAGAAGCCCCGGCCAACUACGUGCCAGCAGCCGCGGAUAAUACGUAGGGGGCGAGCGUUGUACCGGAUUUAUUGGGCGUAAAGAGCUCGUAGGCGGUUCAACAACGUCGGUCGUACAAAGUUCAGGGACUCAACCCUGAAAUGUCGAUCGAUACUGUUGUGACUAGGAUAC
rnacentral:rRNA from 1 species